AUUGAACGCUGGCGGCAGGCUUAACACAUGCAAGUCGAGCGGAGCGGCGGACGGGUCAGUAAUGCCUAGGAUUCUGCCUGGACGUGGGGGAUAAUGUCCGGUAACGGGCGCUAAUACCGCCUAAUAUCAGAUGAGCAUAGGUCGGAUUGGCCGGUUGGUGGGGUAAAGGCCUACCAAGGCGCCGAUCCGUAACUGGUCUGAGAGGAGGACCAGUCACACUGGAACUGAGACACGGUCCAGACUCCUACGGGAGGCAGCAGUGGGGAAUAUUGGACAAUGGGCUAAAGCCUGAUCCAGCCAUGCCGGGUGGGUGAAGAAGGUCUUCGGAUUGUAAAGCACGUUAAGUUGGGAGGCGUUACCAACAGAAUAAGCACCGGCUAACUUCGUGCCAGCAGCCGCGGUAAUUC
rnacentral:rRNA from 1 species